rnacentral:lncRNA from 1 species
GUAAAGAGCGGCAAGGUCUAGGAAAUGCCCAGAGACAGCUAAGAAUCAUUUGAGGCCAGAAUUGAACCCAGGACCUCCCAUCUUCAGGCCUGGCUCUUUAGCCAUUGAGUCAACCAGCUGCCCCAAAGUAGCCAUCUGAUUGGUCUUCCUGCCUUGUCUCUUCCAAUCUGUGAAAGGAAAUUCUUUGUUCUCUUUGCCUGGUUGGGGUUAACACUUUGGAAUAACAAUAACUGAAGUACCCUUGCUUAGUACCUCACUAGACUGAAGACAGGAUUAACUCUAUUUUGUCUACUUUUUUAAUUAAGCAACAAAAGCAAUAUACCCAUACUUAACCCUAAAGUAAGGGAAGUCCACAAACUCUUACUCCUAGGAGGAGAGUUAACACCUUUAGAGGUGAGAAGCCAGCAAGAUACUUGGAAGAACUCCACCCUUUUUCUAACUCAAAUUGCCAGGAACUUUUGAAUUCUUUUAAGAGUUCACACACUCAGAAACGUGUGGUUCCAAAGAUGUGAAUCCUAGGAGGAGAGUUGCUAACUUCAGAGGAUGAGAAGUGUGACAAUUUUGGAAACUGUGAUUAGUCCCUGUGGGGGACCAAUUGGGCUGGCAGUCUGGAGAAGUUGAGUCUGGUGGAGAGUAUCUCCUGGAGAUAGUCUUCAGGGAAACCUCAUUGGAGAUUGCAGUGUGGAUCCUAACUUCAACUUAGACUCUGACUCCUGGACUACUUGGUUGGCCAAAAUGGAAGUAAAAGAUCUGAUUAUAACCUGUGAAAAUAAGAUGCAGUCAGAACUUGACCCUAUCUACCCCCAGCUGGUGAAACGAUGUAGCCUCCUAUCCUCCCUGGAUCUCCCAGGUGAAAUGCCCCUUGAUCUACCUCAAUCAGGAAAAGGCUCAGAUUUCCCCAAGGAGCUCCCACCAGACACUUCCCAGCUCAGAAGGAUAUAGAUUAUGCCCAGGUAAGUAAAGCCUGCCACUUCUACUUCCCCAGUCCUCCCGUAAGUCUCCGAUGUCUCUAGUCUCCACAGCAAGGCCCUGUGGAGGGUUUCCUAUGACUGAUCUUCUCCAGAUAUUGGGCUCACCCCCACCCCCUGGGAGAUGGAGGAGGAGCCUCUUGUGUUUUAAGUUAAGAGGCUCUGGAGUCCUGGGACACAGCAGUCCAGAACUUCACCAGUGAAGAAAGAAAUCCUGGAGUUCAGAGAAAGGACCCCCAACCUUCCCUGAGCCCUCCGACUCAUGCU